AAAACAUGCAUAUUUAGGUUUACAAUUUCAUAUGAGAUUUUUAUUGAAGUUCAACCUAGUAAAUUUGUUUUCCAUUUUUUUUUUUGUUGAAAUAUGUAUCCUCUGACAUGCAUCAUCAUCUCAUUUUUUUUUUUUUUAAUUUUUGUUUCAUUUUGUUUUUUGUUUUUUCGUUUUUUUUUUUUUUAAUGUGAUUUGUUUAUGUUAUAUAGAUAUGUUAUAUGUAUACAAACAUGCUACAAGGAUUUAAUUGUGUUUAUUUUAUUUGUAUCAUGCAGAAGGCUUCCUUCUACAAAUGUUCAGUCACCUGACAUAAAUGCACUGUAGUUCUAGAAAUGAGAAGAUGUGUGAAGUCGUGCGGGAUGUUGCAAACUAUUUCCCAACGGCAAUAAUUAGUGGAAGAUGACGUGAUAAGGCAUUGUCACGGAUGGCACAUGGCCCAAAUAUGCUAGUCAGUGCAUCAUAGCUGCCGAGUGGACUUAUGGGAUUACAAAUGUUCUGAAGACGGGUAUUGAUGCUGCCAAGUUCCUUGCAUAUUAAGAUAAGUUUACCAAAUUCAUUCUGUGAACCAAAGCUUAAACACUCUGCAACUGAAUGUUCGAACUCAGCGCUGUUGGAUGGUUGUAAUGAAUUCUCUAUAUCUUGGAUCCCCAUUCGCAUUGAGUUUGUGUUAGCAUUAUCGUCUAUUUUGAAGUCUCGGCUACUUUGACCCCUUUCCAUCUUGGUCACAUUCUUGUUUUUUUUUUUUUGGCUGACGUAUAUAUGGGGGCUAAUCCCUUCGCACUCAGCCUCUCAUACAAACUCUGCUAUUUGUAGUUGGCAUAUGGUGGUAUCAAUGGUUGCAUGACAAACUGUACCACUGCCCCAUUGUUCGAGGCAUUUGGAGGAGUGCCCUUUCAGUCAGGUCCAUAUGAGUCCAUCCAAAAAAAAAAAACAGGGGCAUGCAUUGGGUACAUCGCCGGUAUCAGUCAAAUACAUCCAAUACAACAUGGAGGCUGGAAUUUGAAUUUUGUUUUUGUUUUUGUUUUUUUUCUAAAUCUCUCUUCUUUUUUUAUUUUAUAAUAGGUGGACUGUGUGUAUGUAAAACAAAUGAAUGGUCAAUAGAAUUGACCAACAACCCAUGGUGCAGGUGAACAAGUUCCCUUUCUUUUUCUUUUUUAAAUAAUGUUUGUACUAUUCCCUUUUUACUUUUAAGAUUGGCUGGUUUUCAAAUGGCUAUAGAUUG